UACGUAGGGGCCUAGCGUUGUCCGGAUUUAUUGGGCGUAAAGAGCUCGUAGGCGGUUCGGUAAGUCAGGUGUGAAAUCUCCACGCUCAACGUGGAGGCGCCACCUGAAACUGCCGUGACUCGAGUCCGGUAGGGGAGUGUGGAAUUCCUGGUGUAGCGGUGAAAUGCGCAGAUAUCAGGAAGAACACCCGUGGCGAAGGCGGUUCUCUGGGACGGUACUGACGCUGAGACGCGAAAGCGUGGGGAGCGAACAGG
rnacentral:rRNA from 1 species